GACGAACGCUGGCGGCGCGCCUAACACAUGCAAGUCGAACGAGCGAGAGAGAGCUUGCUUUCUCGAGCGAGUGGCGAACGGGUGAGUAACGCGUGAGGAACCUGCCUCAAAGAGGGGGACAACAGUUGGAAACGACUGCUAAUACCGCAUAAGCCCACGACCCGGCAUCGGGUAGAGGGAAAAGGAGCAAUCCGCUUUGAGAUGGCCUCGCGUCCGAUUAGCUAGUUGGUGAGGUAAUGGCCCACCAAGGCGACGAUCGGUAGCCGGACUGAGAGGUUGAACGGCCACAUUGGGACUGAGACACGGCCCAGACUCCUACGGGAGGCAGCAGUGGGGAAUAUUGCACAAUGGGGGAAACCCUGAUGCAGCGACGCCGCGUGGAGGAAGAAGGUCUUCGGAUUGUAAACUCCUGUUGUUGAGAAAGAUAAUGACGGUACUCA
rnacentral:rRNA from 1 species